rnacentral:misc_RNA from 1 species
CCUGCAAUCCAUGAUUGCGGAAUUCUGUGUCGUGACCGUGGAUUCCGGGGUGGUGCGAAAGGGGGACCCAUAACCACCGCACGCCGUGGCAAUGCAGGGACACGAUCAAGCAGAGCGAUACAGCUGUUGUUUCUGUCAUUCCGGGGCGCGCCUCUUCGCGCGAACCCGGAAUCCAUUUCUCCAACACCGCGAUGGAUUCCGGGCUCGCGCAACGCGCGCCCCGGAAUGACGGCGGAUAGUAUCGCGCAGAUGGCUGCAACAUUUCGUGNCCCUGUUCUGCAGCACGCUUAUGUUCGGCACGUCCUGGUCGUGAGGGGCGCUUCUCGAGG